CCCAAGUGACCGAACAUUCAAGAGCUUUCUCCUCUCCUUUCUCUUCUCUAACUUUAGGCUAUGAUGAACAAAGAUGGACAAAACUUUGUUCUUUUCACCCCUUUUUCUUUUAAUAAAAUUUCAUAUUUCAUCCAUUUAAUUCUUUAAUACAAAAGACAUGAAAUGCCCAUCAUGGAACAUUUACCUAAACCAUUAUCAUGGAACAUUUACCUAAUCCAUUAUCAUGGAACAUUUACCUAACCCAU
rnacentral:lncRNA from 1 species